GACGUAGGGUGCGAGCGUUGUCCGGAUUUAUUGGGCGUAAAGAGCUCGUAGGCGGCUCGUCGCGUCGACCGUGAAAACCCGCAGCUUAACUGCGGGCUUGCGGUUGAUACGGGCGGGCUAGAGUUCGGUAGGGGAGACUGGAAUUCCUGGUGUAGCGGUGAAAUGCGCAGAUAUCAGGAGGAACACCGGUGGCGAAGGCGGGUCUCUGGGCCGAUACUGACGCUGAGAAGCGAAAGCAUGGGGAGCGAACAGG
rnacentral:rRNA from 1 species